UACAGCUGAAUGUGAUGAUACUUGUGUUGGUAGGGACAUCUGAGAAAAUCUGAUGAAUUGCCAACCUUUCUGACUCGGCA
ensembl:snoRNA small nucleolar RNA SNORD74